rnacentral:rRNA from 1 species
UACUGAGGGUGCAAGCGUUGUCCGGAUUUAUUGGGCUUAAAGGGUGCGUAGGCGGCCCGUUAAGUCAGUGGUGAAAGCCUCCAGCUCAACUGGAGAACUGCCAUUGAUACUGGCGGGCUUGAGUACAGACGAGGUAGGCGGAAUUGAUUGUGUAGCGGUGAAAUGCAUAGAUACAAUCAAGAACACCGAUUGCGUAGGCAGCUUACUAGGCUGUAACUGACGCUGAGGCACGAAAGCGUGGGGAGCGAACAGG